rnacentral:rRNA from 1 species
AUACGGAGGGUGCAAGCGUUAUUCGGAAUCACUGGGCGUAAAGGGUGCGUAGGCGGUUUGAUAAGUCUGAUGUGAAAUCCUAUGGCUCAACCAUAGAACUGCAUUGGAAACUGUCAGACUAGAAUACUGAAGGGGCAGAUGGAAUUAGUGGUGUAGGGGUAAACUCCGUAGAUAUCACUAGGAAUACCGAAAGCGAAAGCGAUCUGCUGGGAAGUUAUUGACGCUGAGGCACGAAAGCGUGGGGAGCAAACGGGAUUAGAAACCCCAGUAGUCC